AUAUUUUAAAAUUCCCUCAUAUGCAGCCAAGGAAGAGAUCCACUGAUCUCAGAUGUCUGUUUCCCAAAUUUCUUCACUUUUGUUUUUCUAGCCGUUUCUUGGACACAGCUGUUGAAAGCUGGACUUGCCCCCAAAUUCAAUUCUGCUAUGAGAUUUUUCUCGUGUGUGUGUGUGUGUGUGUGUGUGUGUGUAUGUGUGUGUGUGUGCACGCACACUUGCAGGCUCACAGGUGUACCUGAGAGAGUGAUGGGGAGGGGGAGGGAGAGAAAGAGUACAUGUGUUUUCUAGAAAGCCUCGUGAUCCUCUGAUCUGUAUCAAAAAUCACAUCUUCUUUAAGGCAUUGACCAUGGUUUCACUUUUGCUGAUGGUCUGGAAGAGCUUCCUUCGACAAGAGUAGGAAAUGUUUGCUGACUUGCAUCCCUUGUAAUGGGCAUCACCAUACCUUGUCUCACUUGACUCUCUCCGCAUCUCCACAUCCCUGGGAGGAAGCCCACUCUGGUCCUGAACUCUUAGGUAUUAAAUACAUGAGCUUGUUUCUUUGUCAUUGGUUGAGGUCCGGAGCACACUUUCUUUACACUGCAUUAUGAUAAUGAAGUUCUAGCACACUAGAGGAAUAAUCUGAUCUUUUGAUAUAAUAGGGAAAAAAAGGUUUUGCUGUACUGGAAUUAUAUCUAAAUAAAGACAUCUUUACACUGUGCCAAGGAUGGAGGAACGUUCUAGCAGGUUGGUCAAGUGGACGCAUUCAGGAUCCUCCCUCCUGACUUUGCUAAAUUAUUUCUGUGGCUGCUGCAGGUGGAACAUGCCUUGUGUUUCUUAGGAAACCACCUCCCCCGUCUGCCCUUUCUCCCUUGCUCCUCCAUCCCUUACCAUUUCACAAAGCUUGGUGAGUUGUAAAAAUAUCUCAUGUUGCAUUUAAAGUCCGUUAGUCUGUAAAUCACAUCCUGAUGGGCUCUGGCAAACACAGGUAUUCGGCCAUGUGGAAGCAUAUGGGUUGUUGUUGAAUUGAUGCCCCAUCUUAAUAACAGCCACCACCCCCCACUGGAGUGUUGAAGCCUAAAAUGAGAUGCCAGUGAAUAAGUCUGAAGCAAUGCAUGUAAAGUCCUGAGCAUAGUUCUUAUCAUAUAGUAACAUGCUCAGUAAUCAUCAGCUCUUGAUCACUUGUGCCUGUGGAAACCAGAGGGGUAGAUGAAAUCAGCCCUCCAUAUCCUUACUGCUUAUUCUUUUCUCUUGCUUUUCCUUCUCCCUGGAGGGUUCCCCUCCCAGAUCACUGCCUGGCUCCCUCACUGCAUUCAGGUCUGUGCCCAGAAUAAACUCCAAGAGGUUGUCUAGAAUGAUCCAGCCCAUCCCUGUUCACACCUUUAUACUCCUACUUUAUUCUUCCUUGUCGGCCAUGUCACAACUAUCACAUUACAAGUGGUUUAUACUUUGGCUGCCCCAUACUCCCCAUUACAAUAUAGACCCCCGUGAGAGAAGGGUUGUGGAUGCCUGGUACUGCCACACAGUUGGUGCUCAAUAAAUGGUUGUUGGUGAAUGAGUUGGAGGGUCAAGACUGAUGACAGGGAAAGAGGUUCACAGGCUGCUGCUAUAAUCCUGUUAAGGACAGUUAAGAGGGGGUCAAGCGGGCUGGAUCCAAGACCUGUUUAAGCAAUAGAAGCAGCAGGAUAUGGCUAUUGACAGGCGUCUAGAUACAUAGGUUUCUUUCUUGGACAGCCUGGGUAGAUAGCAGUGCUGGUUACUCCCAAGAUGGGGAAUGUAGGGGGAAAGGCAGAGAUAUGGUAGCAGAGUGUGCAAACAAAUUCAGAGUCCUAAAUGGAUUUCAUUUGAGGAGCCUGAGGAAUGAAAAAUGGAGAGGCCCAGCAGACAGGUGACUAUCCAGAGAACAAUCCAGAAUAGCGACAUAGAUUCAGGAGCUGUGAAUGUGUGGCAGCUGAAACCACAAGGAUAGAUGAGAGCAGCCAGAGAGGGUGAGCAGAUAAAGGGGAAAUUAUCAGAGAAUAGGGUUUCGAAGGCUACAAUGAAGGGUUUAGCUUUGAUAAAGAGGAACGCAUCGAACCAUCAGUUUCCUGAGCAAACAGAACCCUUUGGCCUCAUCUAUACCUUUUACUUAUUGCCCUCCACACAUUCAAUAAAUUGUGUCAUCUGACGCUGUCUACUAUGGUGCUAUAGCACUAUGCUGGGUACUAGAAAUAAAGAGGAAAAAGACAGAGCCUCUGCUUAUUGUUUAGUGGGGGUGAGGCAAAUGUACACAGAAAUCAUUGCAGAACAGCUUCCUGCAUGCUAAAACAAGGAGAGGCGGGGAUUGCUGAGAGCUCAGAAGAGGGGUGGACGUGGUUUCUCACACAAGGUAGAGUUUCAGGGGUUCGUAAGUAUAUGCAAACCCUUGGGUGUUUUUCAGCACAGGGAACUUGUGGCUUUUUCUCACAUUCUUAAAGGGAUGCAUGAUGAGGAGUUCCCAUUGUGGCUUGGUGGAUUAAGGACCUGACAUAGUCUCCGCAAGUGGGAGAGGAUCUGGCAUUGCCACAAGCUGCGGCAUAGGUCACAGAGGCAGCUCAGAUCUGGUGUUGCUACGGCUGUGGCAUAGGCGGGCAGCUGCAGCUUCAAUUCGAGCGCUAGUCUGGGAACUUCCAUAUGCCGCAGGUGUGGCCAUAAAAAGAAAAGAGAAAAAGAAAUAAUAAAAGGCAUGAUGAGGUUAGUUUUUCAGGAAGCUCAUUCUGACAGUGUUACAAACUAGGCAAGGGCUGGUAAAAUAAAUACCAUUUCAGUAAAUUCUCUCUGGGGCUUGGGGCAUGGUGCCACUGGUGAUACUUAAUUGAAGUAGGGCCCUGAGAAGGACACUUGGAAGGCAAAGUACUGAGUUCAUUUGGGCCAAGUCAGCUGUGUGAGCCCCACGGUCCCUCCAGGGGAGCCCUGCCUGAGCUCUCCCCAGACAGACCGAAGUCCCAUCCAGAGAAUGGUCUGAGCUUGACAUUGACAUUUGAGAAUUAUCAGUAUUUUAAAGAGAGGGAGACUUGCAGCCCCUUCUCCCCACUAGGCGCAUGUUGUCUGCUCAGGCAAUGGAUGCCUCCUGGCUCCCCAGCUGCAUCGUAAGCUCCCUAAGGAAAAAGCUGCAUUUUCUAAUUCAUUUGCCUGCAUCAUCUGGAAGACUGAGCUGGAAUUUCCAGUUCUGGGCAAGAUAGAAUAGAUGCAUUUCCCCCUCACUAAAUACACCUUCAAACCCUGGAUAUUAUAUUAGAAAACAAAUGUUAAGACUGAAAGGGGAGUUCCCAUUGUGGUUCAUUGGUAACAAACCUGACUAGUAUCCAUGCAGAUGCAGGUUCGUUCCCCAACCCUGGCCUUGCUCAGUGGGUUAAGGAUCUGGCGUUGGCAUGAACUGUGGUAUGGGUCGCAGACACGGCUUGGAUCUUGGGUGGCUGUGGCUAUGAUGUAGGCCAGCAGCUACAGCUCUGGUUCAUCCCCUAGGCUGGGAACUUACAUAUGGCACAGGUGCGGCCCUGAAAAGCAAAAGCAAAAAAAAAAAAAAAGACAGAAAGAGAGUUCCCUGGUGGCACAGCAGGUUAAGAACCUGGCAUUGUCACUGCUGUGGCUCUGGAUUCCACUCUGGGCCCUGGAAAUUCUGCAGGCUGCAAGUGUGUCCGAAAGGGGAAGGGGGGGGUGGGUUGGGGAGAUAAGACUGAAAAAAAAAAAAAGGUGGACUAGCCAGGAACCUAAAAACUUGAGAAGCAGCAUGGCAGUGAGCUUCUUGGGAUUUCUUUAUGCCUCUAUACACCCCGGAGGGCACGCUGGAGAAGCCCCCUGCUCAGAAAUGCCCACGGGCCCAGACAAGAAAAGCUUGCCCUCUCUUGCCAAUGGACUAGGAAAUGGGCAGCCUAAUAAAAGAGCAACCGUUUUUUUCCUUCUUCUUUUUUUAUUUUUCUUUUUACAGCCACACCCGCAGCACAUGAAGUUCCCAGGCUAGGGGUUGAAUCAGAGCUGCAGCUGCGGUCUACACCACAGCCACAGCAACAUCAGAUCGAAGCCACGUAUGUGACCUAUACCACAACUCAUGGCAUCACCGGAUCCUUAACCCACUGAGCAAGGCAGGGAUUGAACCUGCGUCCUCACAGAGACAGUGUCAGGUCCUCAACCUUCUGAACCACAGUAGGAAUUCCCAAAACAGAAAUGUUUUCAACAAUAAAGAUUCUUCAGAAAAACACUGGAGAAGGUUGCAAGCUACCCCUCAGUGGGGGCGGGAGGGGUACCUCUUCACUGCCAGGCGAGGUUAGAGGUCCGGCUUUCCAUGAGACUUUGCUGAUGAAGUCGCAGGUAAGGGGGACAGGGGAGCGUCAGAGAGAUGCAAAGGGGAGCCUGGACUUCCAUCCCACCCAGGGGAAGAGUGCGCCCCUUCCCCUCUCCAAGGAGGCUGGGUGAGGAGCUGGCUCUCCAGUGGCUCCUGGUGGUUCUGAAGUGCCUUUCAAUCCUCGCCAGCAGGGUGGUACUGGGGGGGCCACGUGGGGCCUGAACUCUCGCCCCCGCCCAGCAGUAAGGCCUUGGUGCCCCUUUCCCUCCUGGUCCGUUAUUAGCGGAAGCCUGCUCACAUUGAGGGUUUAACUUAAAUCCAGAGUCUGAUGACAUAAUACCCAGAAUGACCAGGAUGUCAUCAAUAAUCACUCAUCUUCCCUAAAAUCGAGGAUUCACCUUGUUGACACACGUAGGCUAAGGAAAGUAAACAUAAAAUU
rnacentral:lncRNA from 1 species